rnacentral:rRNA from 1 species
AUGUUGACUCAUAAGCAGGUCGAUUGGAUGCCAUAUGAUGCCGAUUGUGCUUUCCGGCUGAACGAGAUGUGCACACGUGACAGGAAUAUUUGGCGGGCGAGAUGCCCACUGAUAUGCUUCUAUGUUGUCGAGUGGCACUACCCAGACCGUGUCGCAAGACAAUUUGGGAGAAGGCAAGGGACACCAAGGGAUGAGAGUUUCGAGACAAGCCAAUUUCUGCAUCGAAUUAGUCGAAAGAAUAACCCGGAAACUUCGACUUGGGCCAUCAAGCACUCCGAGUGGAUAGAUUUGUGGAAUCAAAGAGUGGCCCUAGUGGAGAAGGAAAGAAGACAACAUAGUGAUUCAGUAUACGAAGAGCAUCUGAAGUGGCUUGCGGGACGUUACCGGUUGAAGCUAAAGCCCGGUUGGAACCGUUCGGAAUUGGAAGAGUUGGAUCGUGAGAGCGGGUAUAUGGACUUCAAUGUACAAACAGAGACAACGAAGGGACACAACUUGACUAUGCACAACUACACGACCGAGUGGGCAUGGAGUUAUUGCAUUGUGUUAACGAGGCUGGUGUAG